CGCUCCGCCCCUCCCCUGCCGCGGGGUCUAGUCUCCAGCAUCCGUUUCCUGCCCCAACUCGGCUCCUCGCUAGGGGCCCACUUGAGCGACUCUGCUGUGUCCUCGCUACGGGAUCCUCCCUGGAUUCCCCCUUGAAACCCGAGGCUUCUGCGGCUCCUGGAUCUCUGUCCCCAUCCGCAGACUUUGCCCCGGCGUCCACUGUGGGAUCAUCAAAGGACGGGAAGAAACUGAGGUUCAGGAAGCUUCAAUCUCAUGCUGUGGGGUCACACAGCUUUUACAUGGCAAAGGCACACCUUGAACCUGGGUCUACCACACUGACCCUCCUACAUCCUGCUCCCAGCUGGCUGUAUGGCCUCGGACAUGUCCUUCAGCAUGCCUGGACCUCUGAUGCUUCGAUUUUCAAAAAAGAGAGACAGGAAGAAUCUUGGACAGACACCCUCAAGAGUUGGGAGUAACAAAGAAGGAGAAAACAACAACAAAUUUUUGAAGAGCGGAAGCCAGAUAGUUGAGUGGUAACUGACCUAACAGAUUCAAGAACACUGACUCCUAAGCAGGUAAUGGAAAAAGCCAAGAACAGCCUGUGUCAAAUUGCGGACUUCUCACAGGGUUCAAGAAUUUGUAGUUUCAGGCAUCUCUGGCAGUUAAGGUUAAGGGAAAACUUAAAAAAAAAAAAAGAGAGUGUUUAAAGCCAUUCAAGUAAUAGCUCCCUAAACUCUCUCCCCAGUUCCAUCCAUGUCACUGAGCUAUUUAUUACCCAUCCUAGCCUCAGCAGAAGACUGAAGUUUAUUCUUUAGACAGAAUAACACUGAGGGGCUCUGGACAGGUGGGACACUUGACACAGUUGGGAGUGGAGACACUAAAAACAGGAGAAUUAAGUGAUUCCAUACAUAUUAAAUGCUGAGAACCUCAGCCCUAUUCCCUCACUCCCAGAAAGGGGGUGACCAGGCCUGUCUGUAGGGUAUAAGCUUUCUCCAUGGGUUACAUCAGAAAUCUAUAGAUGCCAAUUAUCAGAGGCUGCCUAACAAACACCCCAGGCAAAUCAUCCUAUAGCAACAUCCUCUAUCACCACAGCCAGUGAGUCCCCCCACUUCACAUGGCUUUCAAUCAGUGUUUUAGUCCACCACUUGUAAACAUAAGCAGACAACCAAGGAUUAGCAGAAAUCUGAGAAAAGCCUCUAAAAUGAGACAGAGACCCCCAGAAAGGGUAGAGAGGGAGUGGCUGGGUGGCUCAGUCAGCUGAGUGUUUGACUCUUGGUUUCGGCUUAGGUCAUGAUCUCACGGUUUGUGGGUUGAAGCCCCUCAUUGGGCUCUGCUGACAGUGCAGAGCCUGCUUGGGUGUCUCUGUCUCCCUCUCUCUUUUCCCCUCCCUUGCUCUUUCCCACAUGCUCAUGCACUAUCUUUCUCUCAGAAAUAAAUAAAUAAAUAAAUAAAUAAAUAAUAAAUGGCAGAGGAAAAAAAAGCAAUUUGGAAGAACAGAGAUUAUGCAGGGAAAUGAAAAUUUUCAAAAACAGAAACAAAACUAAUGAUAUCCUGAGUGAGCUAACAUCAUAUUUCACCCAUGAAGAAAGAAUUGCAUGUUCUAAAAAGUAACAUUUGUAGAACCAAAAAACUCUUGAAAAGUAAAACUACAGAAGCAGAAAUGAAAAACUCAAUAGAAGAAUUGAAAAAUAAAGUUGAGGGAAUAUCUUGGAAAUUAUAGGAAGAGGGACGCCUGGGUGGCUUAGUUGGUUAAGCAACUGGCUGGCUCAGGUCAUGAUCUUGUGGUUUGUGGGUUCGAGUCUCGAAUCGCGCUCUGUGCUGACAGCUCAGAGCCUGGAGCCUGC